CGAUCCUGAAAUUUUGCAUAUAACCCCCUCACCAGAGCUUGCUAUCCUCCCUGUUCUCUUCUUCCAUGUCAUAACCCACCUCUGCCCGAGCUCCUCCUCCCUCUACCUCAGAAGCAUCAAGCAUGCCGUGGCCGCCCGUUCGAACUGUGGGAGCCGCACGAGCUCGCUAGUGCUCCUUGGAGGGGCGCAUCUCGCUGCCGGCUCGUGAAUCGCCCUCGGUGCCAAGUCCUCUCGAGCUCCUUCCCUCCCUCCCGUGCGCGUCAUGUGGGAGUGGGCAGUGGAGAAGCCAAGCAGUGGGUGGUGCGCGUGCUGCUCUAAUUGGUGAAGGGUUUGGAUUCGGAGGAGCACGCGCUGGUGCCGGUGGAUUGAAGGCUGCUGGAGCUGGUUGUAUUGGAGGAAAUUCGUAGGGAGAGAAGUGGCGUGUGGGAGAUAAGCUCCUGACUGUUGUUUUUGCCGAUUUGGACAAGGUAGGAGCUUGGAUUAAUUGGAGUUGCUUCUAGCUGGUCUGCUUUAGGGGAGAGAUUGAGAGGGACUGGAGAGAGGCGAGUUGUUGCCUGCUGGAGAGGUACCCCGGACGGCACCUCGGCCGGCCCGGUCCUCGCCCGCCGGGGGCAGCGCCUCCACCACCUCCGGUGGCGACGCGGCGGCGAGACGACGCGCGAUGUUGAUGGAAGCCGUGAAGCAGGUGCCGGCGUGCCGCUGACGACGCAGCAGCGGGAACAUGUGGAGCGGUCAAUGGCCUGACCAUCUUCGAGACCGUCGCGUUACAGCGAUGAUCAAAUAAAGAAGACUGCGUGGAUUUCGACCAAUUGUGCUUGGCUUCAAGCUACAGGAGAUACUGGUAUUGUCUUGAGGACAUUGCAAUUGGACAGAAAUAUACUGGCAAAUCAACUUCUUGCUGCCUUCCAGAAUGAAGUUUGAAUACAUGGAGCGUAUGCAUUUGCUAUUGUUCUGGAGCUGCAAGCUUAGAUCCAUCAACAAUUCGUCCAUUUUUCUCGCUUCUUAGUUAGAUGUGCCCAAGUGCUUGUGUGUUAAAAGGUAGCACUGUACUGUUAGUCUGUUACCGUUUCCUGUUAACAAAUUGCUCCCUGGAAUGAGCUUUUUAACA